rnacentral:rRNA from 1 species
UACGUAGGGUGCGAGCGUUGUCCGGAAUUAUUGGGCGUAAAGAGUUCGUAGGCGGUUUGUCGCGUCGUUCGUGAAAACUUGGGGCUUAACUCCAAGCGUGCGGGCGAUACGGGCAGACUUGAGUACUACAGGGGAGACUGGAAUUCCUGGUGUAGCGGUGAAAUGCGCAGAUAUCAGGAGGAACACCGGUGGCGAAGGCGGGUCUCUGGGUAGUAACUGACGCUGAGGAACGAAAGCGUGGGUAGCGAACAGG